UGGGGAAUAUUGCACAAUGGGCGCAAGCCUGAUGCAGCCAUGCCGCGUGUGUGAAGAAGGCCUUCGGGUUGUAAAGCACUUUCAGCGAGGAGGAAGGGUUCAGUGUUAAUAGCACUGUUCAUUGACGUUACUCGCAGAAGAAGCACCGGCUAACUCCGUGCCAGCAGCCGCGGUAAUACGGAGGGUGCAAGCGUUAAUCGGAAUUACUGGGCGUAAAGCGCACGCAGGCGGUUUGUUAAGUCAGAUGUGAAAUCCCCGCGCUUAACGUGGGAACUGCAUUUGAAACUGGCAAGCUAGAGUCUUGUAGAGGGGGGUGAGAAUUCCAGGUGUAGCGGUGAAAUGCGUAGAGAUCUGGAGGAAUACCGGUGGCGAAGGCGGCCCCCUGGACAAAGACUUACGCUCAGGUGCGAAAGCGUGGGGAGCAAAACAGGAUUAGAUACCCUGGUAGU
rnacentral:rRNA from 1 species